rnacentral:rRNA from 1 species
AUUGAACGCUGGCGGCAUGCCUUACACAUGCAAGUCGAACGGCAGCACGGGAGCAAUCCUGGUGGCGAGUGGCGAACGGGUGAGUAAUAUAUCGGAACGUGCCCAGUCGUGGGGAUAACGUAGCGAAAGCUACGCUAAUACCGCAUACGAUCUAUGGAUGAAAGCGGGGGAUCGCAAGACCUCGCGCGAUUGGAGCGGCCGAUAUCAGAUUAGGUAGUUGGUGNGGUAAAGGCUCACCAAGCCGACGAUCUGUAGCUGGUCUGAGAGGACGACCAGCCACACUGGGACUGAGACACGGCCAGACUCCUACGGGAGCAGCAGUGGGGAAUUUUUGGGACAAUGGGCGCAAGCCUGAUCCAGCAAUG